rnacentral:rRNA from 1 species
AUUGAACGCUGGCGGCAGGCCUAACACAUGCAAGUCGAACGAGUGGCGGACGGGUGAGUAAUGUCUGGGAAACUGCCUGAUGGUGCGGGAUAACUACUGGAAACGGUAGCUAAUACCGCAUACCAUCGGAUGUGCCCAGAUGGGAUUAGCUAGUAGGUGGGGUAAAGGCUCACCUAGGCGACGAUCCCUAGCUGGGCUGAGAGGAUGACCAGCCACACUGGAACUGAGACACGGUCCGGACUACUACGGGAGGCAGCAGUGGGGAAUAUUGCACAAUGGGCGCAAGGCUGAUGGAGCCCAGCCGCGUGGAUGAAGAAGGCCGUCGGGUUGUAAAGUACUUUCAGCGGGGAGGCGUUACCCGAAGAAGAAGCACCGGCUAACUCCGUGCCAGCAGCCGCGGUAAUAC